rnacentral:lncRNA from 10 species
UUAGUUCAGAAACAGUGGAUGAGCAAAAAUGAACAGGACACAUUCCGUGCCUUCAAUGUUUUCUGCCUAUUAAAGGGAAAUUAGACCAGGUCUGAUGGCUCAUGCCUAUAAUCUUAUCACUUUGGGAGGCUGAGGCUGGAGGACUGCCAGAGGCCAGGAGUUCUAGACCAGCCUGGGCAGCAUUGGGAGACCCCAUCUCUACAACAAGUAAAAGAAUUUGACCAGGCACAGU